AUUGAACGCUGGCGGCAGGCUUAACACAUGCAAGUCGAGCGGAGCGAGGGUGCUUGCACCUUAGCUUAGCGGCGGACGGGUGAGUAAUGCUUAGGAAUCUGCCUAUUAGUGGGGGACAACAUUCCGAAAGGGAUGCUAAUACCGCAUCCGCCCUACGGGGGAAAGCAGGGGAUCUUCGGACCUUGCGCUAAUAGAUGAGCCUAAGUCGGAUUAGCUAGUUGGUGGGGUAAAGGCCUACCAAGGCGACGAUCUGUAGCGGGUCUGAGAGGAUGAUCCGCCACACUGGGACUGAGACACGGCCCAGACUCCUACGGGAGGCAGCAGUGGGGAAUAUUGGACAAUGGGGGGAACCCUGAUCCAGCCAUGCCGCGUGUGUGAAGAAGGCCUUUUGGUUGUAAAGCACUUUAAGCGAGGAGGAGGCGCUCUAGGUUAAUACCCUAGAUGCGUGGACGUUACUCGCAGAAUAAGCACCGGCUAACUCUGUGCCAGCAGCCGCCGUAAAAC
rnacentral:rRNA from 1 species